UACGUAGGGUCCGAGCGUUGUCCGGAAUUAUUGGGCGUAAAGGGCUCGUAGGCGGUUCGUCACGUCGGGAGUGAAAACUCGGAGCUUAACUCCGAGCCUGCUUCCGAUACGGGCAGACUAGAGGUAGGCAGGGGAGAGCGGAACUCCUGGUGUAGCGGUGGAAUGCGUAGAUAUCAGGAGGAACACCGGUGGCGAAGGCGGCUAUCUGGACAGAGUCUGACGCUGAGGCGCGAAAGCUAGGGGAGCAAACAGG
rnacentral:rRNA from 1 species